rnacentral:misc_RNA from 1 species
UGGUUAGGUAGAGAAUACUAAGGGCUUGAGAGAACCCAGGUGAAGACUAGGCAAAUAGUGCCGUAACUUCGGGAGAAGGCACGCUAGCAUUAAGUGAAGGAUUUACUCCAUGAGCUGAGCUAGUCGAAGAUACCAGCUGGCUGCAACUGUUUAUUAAAACACAGCACUGUG